rnacentral:snoRNA from 1 species
AUGCAUCUCUGACAGACCUGGAGCAGGUAAUGUCUGCUGCUAAGGUUUCUACUGUAGGUGCAAAAAAAGAAGAUCCUUUUACUUUCUGCCUGUCUGGUUGUGGCAGCCAAGAUUGAAUGGGGGAAUGCAGGA